rnacentral:rRNA from 1 species
UACGUAGGGGGCAAGCGUUGUCCGGAUUUAUUGGGCGUAAAGCGCGUGUAGGCGGUCCGGUAAGUCCGCUGUGAAAGUCGGGGGCUUAACCCUCGGAUGCCGGUGGAUACUGUCGGGCUUGAGUACGGAAGAGGCGAGUGGAAUUCCUGGUGUAGCGGUGAAAUGCGCAGAUAUCAGGAGGAACACCAAUUGCGAAGGCAGCUCGCUGGGACGUUACUGACGCUGAGACGCGAAAGCGUGGGGAGCAAACAGG